rnacentral:rRNA from 1 species
AUGAGCGCCCACCCAUACGCGCUGGCGGGGCUCGAGCUCACGGGCUACGUGCGCCGCCUCUCCCAGCUCGAGAUCCUUGCGGUCUACCUUGGCGCCUCCCUCUUCAUCCCCCUCUCCGUCUGGCUCAUCUCCGGGAGAUGUCGCCGGCUAUCCAAGUCCGACUGUGUGCUCAUCUGCUGGUGGGCGUUCACCGGGCUGAACCACAUCCCCAUCAAGGGCCCCUUCGUCUUCACCCCCGAUUUCUUUGCCAAGGUCAACCCGAAUAACUUUGAUGAAGUCUGGAAGGUGUACAACUAAGGAGACUCCAGAUACGUCGCCAGGGACACGGCCACCGUCACUGACGAAGGGAUCACGACCGUGCUGGAAGGCCAUGCUUCGCUGCUUGCAGUCUAUGUUGUUGCAUCUCGGAAACGCUACAUCCAUAUCCUCUAGUUCUCUGUAUGCCUGGGUCAGCUCUACGGAUGCUUGGUCUACAUCAUAGCGGCCUACUUGGAUGGCUUUAACUUCUGGGCCAGUCCAUUCUACUUCUGGGUGUAUUUCAUUGGCGCAAACAGUUCAUGGAUCGUGAUACCAACGUUGAUUGCCACAAGGAGCUGGAAGAAGAUCUGCACAACGAUUCAUCAAAGCCAAAAGGUGAAGACUAAGUAA